rfam:Bacillus thuringiensis serovar israelensis ATCC 35646 sq1814, whole genome shotgun sequence.
UGGGCAGUAUCAGAGUGAACUGCACCAUGAUUCGAAGUAAUAUGAAAAAUAAUAACUUGGAUUCUGCCUUGAUCCAAUAACGGACUGGGACAGAGGG